AUUGAACGCUGGCGGCAGGCUUAACACAUGCAAGUCGAGCGGAAACGAUGUAGCUUGCUACAGGCGUCGAGCGGCGGACGGGUGAGUAACGCGUAGGAAUCUGCCUAGUAGUGGGGGACAACAUGUGGAAACGCAUGCUAAUACCGCAUACGCCCUACGGGGGAAAGGAGGGGAUCUUCGGACCUUUCGCUAUUAGAUGAGCCUGCGUAAGAUUAGCUAGUUGGUAGGGUAAAGGCCUACCAAGGCGACGAUCUUUAACUGGUCUGAGAGGAUGGCCAGUCACACUGGGACUGAGACACGGCCCAGACUCCUACGGGAGGCAGCAGUGGGGAAUAUUGGACAAUGGGCGCAAGCCUGAUCCAGCCAUGCCGCGUGUGUGAAGAAGGCCUUAGGGUUGUAAAGCACUUUCAGGGGUGAGGAAGGGUGUUUGGUUAAUAUCCAAACAUUUUGACGUUAGCUCCAGAAGAAGCACCGGCUAACUCGGUG
rnacentral:rRNA from 1 species